UACAGAGGGGGCAAGCGUUGUUCGGAAUUACUGGGCGUAAAGGGCGCGUAGGCGGCCUGUUAAGUCGAACGUGAAAUCCCCGGGCUCAACCCGGGAACUGCGUCCGAUACUGGCAGGCUUGAAUCCGGGAGAGGGAUGCGGAAUUCCAGGUGUAGCGGUGAAAUGCGUAGAUAUCUGGAGGAACACCGGUGGCGAAGGCGGCAUCCUGGACCGGCAUUGACGCUGAGGCGCGAAAGCUAGGGGAGCGAACGGG
rnacentral:rRNA from 1 species